UACGGAGGGGGCUAGCGUUGUUCGGAAUUACUGGGCGUAAAGCGCACGUAGGCGGACUGAUCAGUCAGAGGUGAAAUCCCGGGGCUCAACCCCGGAACUGCCUUUGAUACUGUCAGUCUGGAGGUCGAGAGAGGUGAGUGGAAUUCCGAGUGUAGAGGUGAAAUUCGUAGAUAUUCGGAGGAACACCAGUGGCGAAGGCGGCUCACUGGCUCGAUACUGACGCUGAGGUGCGAAAGCGUGGGGAGCAAACAGG
rnacentral:rRNA from 1 species